GGCGUGAGGUGUAGGGUCUAGGGUUUCAAUUCUAGAUUUUGUGAGAAGAAAAAUAUAAGAGUGAGUCUUGUUUAAUCUCCCACACCACCACCUCCUUGUAAAGCUUUAUCUUUUGAUCCAGAGGAGUCCAGGAGAUCCAAAGAACGAGGCUUGGAUUAGCCAUCUAGAGCCUUCGACGUGAGUUAGCACUCCCAUGAAGGAA
rnacentral:lncRNA from 1 species